GGGUUUGCCUGGCUGUCUCAUUCUCUAUCCUUAUGUCCAGGAAGACUCAGUAUGUGACCUGGCAGGAACAUGCUUGCCAAAUAGUGGCCCCUAAAAAGCUGUUAUGGUGAGUUCCAGGGGCAAGAGGGCCUGAGACACCCUCUCCCUGCAGCUUGCCUUCUCCUUUUUCCUCUACCAGGUCUCAUUCCACCUCCUUCUGGACCACACCAGUCAUCUCCAGGAAGCAAUGGAUCAAACUCUGGACCUUGCGCUUGCGAGCCAGGCGCCAGAACCACUGAGCAAAAUCCCCGGCUGGAGGUGUUGCUGGAACAACUCACAUGGCCUGGGCUUCCUCCCCAUGUGGGGAUUGGAUUCCAAGGAACCAGCCUACAAGAGCAGAGACACCAGACCUGGGAGGACCUUGUAAUCCGCUGUGCUAGACCAGACCAGGAGGAGACCCAGAGGCCCAGAGAAUGGGAAGGUCAUCAGUCCAAGCCUUCCACAUCACUGCCUAGCACGGAUGCUCCAGUGCCAUGCCAGGCUACCCUGCUGGAUCUAUGGUCCAUCUGCCGACAUACUGUGUACUCCACAAGGCCAGGAAUGGACAAGCCUACUCUGUG